AGUGAACGCUGGCGGUAGGCCUAACACAUGCAAGUCGAACGGCAGCACAGUAAGAGCUUGCUCUUACGGGUGGCGAGUGGCGGACGGGUGAGGAAUACAUCGGAAUCUACUUUUUCGUGGGGGAUAACGUAGGGACACUUACGCUAAUACCGCAUACGACCUACGGGUGAAAGCAGGGGAUCUUCGGACCUUGCGCGAUUGAAUGAGCCGAUGCCGGAUUAGCUAGUUGGCGGGGUAAAGGCCCACCAAGGCGACGAUCCGUAGCUGGUCUGAGAGGAUGAUCAGCCACACUGGAACUGAGACACGGUCCAGACUCCUACGGGAGGCAGCAGUGGGGAAUAUUGGACAAAGGGCGCAAGCCUGAUCCAGCCAUACCGCGUGGGUGAAGAAGGCCUUCGGGUUGUAAAGCCCUUUUGUUGGGAAAGAAAAGCAGCAGGUUAAUACCCCGCUGUUCUGACGGUACCCAAAGAAUAAGCACCGGCUAACUUCGUG
rnacentral:rRNA from 1 species